AGAUUUAGUGGCGAACGGGUGAGGAUCACGUGAGAAACCUGCCCCAGACUUUGGGAUAACAGUUGGAAACGACUGCUAAUACCGGAUGCCUUCAUUUGACCGCAUGGUUCACUGACGAAAGGAAAUCCGGUUUGGGAGGGUCUCGCGGCCUAUCAGCUUGUUGGUGGGGUAAUGGCCUACCAAGGCAACGACGGGUAGCUGGUCUGAGAGGAUGAUCAGCCACACUGGGACUGAGACACGGCCCAGACUCC
rnacentral:rRNA from 1 species